CCCACGACGACCCACGACGCCUGCGUCGGCCCUGCCCGAACUGGCGUGCAGAGCAGUGCUCCACGACGCCGCCACCACCUGCCCCAGCAGCGGCACGCUCCGACAACGGCGACCAUGGCGGUGCGGGCGCGGCGGCUGGGGAGUCUGUUCCCUGCUAGAUCCAGUAGAUGGCUGACUCAUCGAGGCCCUCCGUGAACAUCAUCUGCGCCGGUCGUCUGCUCGGCUGCAGUGGAUUAGGAGGCUUGGUGUGGAGGCGCUCAGCAGCGGGUGGAAGUUCCCGUCAAGGAGUCUGUCCCGUCAAGGAGACCGUCGUGCCCUGGACGGAGUCAGAGCAAGAGUCGAUCAACAUUUUCCUCACGAUGAUUGAGCGACACAGGCACAAUUCACCAUGAUCCCAUCCCCCACUCAAACCUGCAAAAUCCUGUAGCCGAACAUCUCGAUGGUCUCACGUGCCAUUCCUUUCUACAGGAAUAGGCCUAUAACUGAUUUCAAUAAGUUUAUGCUGCAUUUCAUUCAGUGUGUUUGGAUGCAUAUAGAGAACACGAAGUUUAAUGUGUUUGGUGCAUAAUGAGAAUUGAGGAAAUGGGACAUUCUAGCAUGCUAUGUGAAUUGUGAAAGGCUAUAGAUUAAUGUGUACAGGUGGGAAUUCAUUAUCGGUUUACUAAUUAUAUAGCUGUUUUUCCCUAUUAUCUCUCUCAAUUUACUGUGUAUAAUGUACUACUAAUCUGGAAAUUGAUGUAUGAUAGCAUUUUUUAUGUUGGAACUGCCUACAUUUAUGUUGGUGCCGCUCCCACGAGCGCACCAGGACGCCGGCUUGGAGGUACUUGCACACAAGGGUCGAGCUCGGACGUCGUAGCGGUGCGGAGGGCCUCGGCCGUAGCAUGCCCCGCCCCGCCGCGCAUGCCUGCGCGGUCGGUGUCCCGCAGCACCCACACCGAGUGGCCUGUCUUCAAAGUCGUCCUCAUCCUCUCCUCCUGGCUCAACGAGACCAUCAACGUCUGGAUGUUCAUAGACCUGCUCGGGUUCAUGCUGUUCUUCGACCUCACCCUGGUGCACCUCGGCCAGUACUUCACCAAGGUGUCUGGUAUGAUUGGGCACCUCUCCUGCUCCGGCGACCGAGCUCCAACCAGGGACGUCUAGCGCUAGCGCCCAGGACGCACGACCCCCUGCUCCUCUAUCCUCAGCGCCGAGCCCCUCCGUCCUGUUUCUGGCAGCGAAAGCCCAGCCCCUGCGGCAAGCUACCUACUCGAUGGAAUGCCCAGCCGCUUGUCGGAUCUACGCAGCCCCUGCGCGACGUCACAAACUCCGGCAGUCAGGCGGGAUAACAAGCAGAGGUUUAGUCUGUUGGAGGAAGAUGGCGAGCUGUUGAUCCGGGCGAACCAGGGACACACACUAAAAAAAUAUAGUCUGGAGGUGACCUCAAUGUAAUUCAAUUAGUGAUGGAACAUUUGGGAGUCUACUCAUUAUGUAUUUCUUCUAUCUGGAAAAACACUCAAGGGAUCUUUGUUUAGAGGAUGGAGACCUAAAUCUGACCGACCUUCAUUGGUGGAUAAAUAUGCAGAAAAAGAGAUUCAGAAGGUCUUGGACAUCGCCGACGAGCGUAGCCUCAUUGACACCAUCUUCUUCUGCUACCUCGGGUGCAAUGCAAGCUAAGGUGGUCGACAAUGGUGUUCGCGGCGGCGAACUCGCAGCGCAGCCAGGUGAUGAAGCCAUCGCGCUCGUCGACGAGCCAGGCGACGGGCUCGGCCACGGCGGUGCCGGGGGCCGGCGAGGCGAUGACGGCGGCGGUGGAGGCCAUCGCCGUGCGUCCCUCACCACUGCGGGCCGCAGCAUAGCCCAGCCAGCAAUGCCGAGGUUCCUCCAAGAGAAUCCAGAGUAUGUUGCACAGGGUGUAACUUUAGCUCAGUUUUCGUUCCAGAUACCUAUACCUCUGCGGCAGGACUAUGUCAAAAAGAAACCGAAGUUGAUAAAUGCAAGUGAUGAAGCAAGUACAAUUACCUCUAAGUCUUCUGAACCAGACGAAGUGAACCCUAUAGCCUGGGCAGUUCCUACAAAACAUGAGGGCGAUGCCAGUGAAGAAGCUUCUCUCGCCGAUGAGACACUUGCAUCAGAAGUAGUGCUAACCCGGAAGAGGAAAAUAGGAAGCUCUUUGUCAGUAGAGCCAAACCAUCUCUCUGAUGAACUUGAACCAAAGUUGGAGGAUGCUUAGAACGGGGAGACGUCUAACUGAAAAGUGAUUGAUGCAAGCAUUGUGUAUGAUCCUUGGACAAGGGAAUCACGGAUGUUUGGUUUUGUCACCAUGGCUGCUACUAAGGAGGCAGAUCACUGCAUCAAAUAUCUGGACUGUUCUGUGUUGCAAGAACAUUUUAUUGUUUUGUCUUCACCACCGAGAAUCCAAGAGCGCCUCCCAUAGCCUCCACAUCCACAAGGUCCUGCUUGACUGCGACGACGUCCAGGCUGAUGCCCUCAUCGUGGAUCGACUCGCCUCGCUCUAGAAGGAGUGGCCCCUCUGGAGUUGAAUAUGCAGUUAUAACCAAUUUUUACCCCUUUUAUCCUAGAAGAGUUGCCAAGACACGGUAUAAGACCAUGAUAAUAGACUAAGAGAGGAUUUGUCUCUAAUUAUUAUAUGUUUUAUUUAUGCAGUCCCAUGAGAACUUUGAGUAUUUGCAGAUUGAUUUAUUAAUAUAUUAAAGUUAAAGAUUGUAUGUGUUGAGUAUGUAUCCAUUCUUGUUGGAAGUGUCUUGCAAUUCCAAUCCAAGGAUGUAUAAAAGACUGCAUGGGCU